CAAACCAAAGUAUUUACGGGCACUUUCAUAUAUUGAAUGAUACAGGCCAUAUUUUUUCGUAGGGAUCUCUUCUGCAACUUCCCGACUCAAAGAAACCAAAUUCAUCAUAUAACCAAAACUGAUAAAUACUUCAAACAAGAAGAUAAGCAAAUACAGUUUAGCUGAAACUCGCCGCUAUCAAAGUCCAAAACUAGUCUAGAAAUACCAUCACCAAACAAUAAAACAGUGGCAAACUAGUCACAACCCGCAAACCACAAAGUAAGUUUAGAAAAGGAUACUUUAAAGUCUUAAAUACGAAUCACUGGAUGAGACAUGAGACACUUCUUAAUAUGCUUUACUAAGCCAAAAGUGCCAUAAUACUUCGGAUGACAAUUAUAAACUCGACCACAAUGAAGGCACUUUAUUUUGCGGGCUUCUUCAUUUUCUUCAAUUAGCUCAAAAUAUUCCCAAAUAGGUGAUCUAGCUUUAGGACCGUGAGGAAUGGUUGAACCUACAAAAUAAGAAAAGAUCACAAGUUAAUAAAAUAUUUUUAAUUAAAAAUAACAAAAGGAUAUCAUAAAACAAGCAAAUUUUUUAAACUUACCACUUGUUCAAACUAUGCAUCAACAAUGCUAGUAUCUCUUUCAACAAUGCAAGUUUCUCUUCCGCUCUUUCCCAUAUCUAAAUAUAAUUUGAUAAAGUGUGUCAUUUAAACUUACAAAGUAAACUAAUUUUCACUAAAAUACUCAUAAAACGCAAAAUCUUACCAAGUUCAAUUUGCUCAAGAAACUCCAAAUCUUCUUCAAUAUUAAUAGGAGUACCAUCACAUCUAAGCCAAUAUUGAACACAAACAAGACUUUGCACCAAUCGAGGAGUCAAUGAACUCCUAAAUGAAUCAAGAAUGCGGCCACGGUGCUAAAUGCACAUUCCGAUGCAACACUAGAAAUUGAAAUGGCUAAUACAUCACGAGCUAGCUUAGAUAGAAUAGGAAAUCGAGGCGCAUUAAUUUUCCACCAAUCUAAGAUUUUAAAGUCAUCAGAAUCAUCAGACAAUGGCUCUUGUCCUUCACCAAUAUAUCUUUUCAACUCAGAUUUAGCACCUACACUUUCGAAGUCUUCCUUUUGCCUUUUCAAUAAUUGCUUUAUUCUCAUAGAUUUUGUUCUCACAUUAGAUGAAUCAGAUGUUGUCAUCAGAUGAAGUAGAUUUAGAUGGAGACGAUUGAAGAUAAAAUCCUUUGGAAUAUAUUUUUUGAUACUCCCCAAACAAAGAAUUCAAAUAAGCAUCCACUUCGGCGGCUAAUUUCUUCCCUGGUUCGUUUCCGAAUAUUUCCUCAAGUGCAAAACUAACAUACUCUAAUUUGUUAUGAGGAUCUAAUACAAAAGUAAUGAAUAUCAUUUUAUUCAUCUUUUCAGGUUCACUCUAAUAUUUUUUAAACUUUUCUUUCAUAUUCCCCGCCAUCUUACUCAAAUUAGUAUCAUCACUAGCUAAACAAGCUUUCAAAUGACUAUCAAGCUCACAUAUAUCCUUAAAAUGACAAUUAGAAGUGACAUAACGUGAACCUGAAAAUUUUUCGGUGGGUUCGUGAAAUCAUUCAAGAAACUUUAUCACGUUUCUCACAUUCACCCAAUCAUCACAUACAAAUAGACCUGCAACAUUCCCAUCCUCACAAAUAUACGUACAAAGAUGAGUAGAAAAUCCAUCAUUAAAAAGAUGAAGCUUGUCAAAGGCCUUCUCAAAGUUUUGCGCCGUUUCUAACAUCAAGUAGGUUGAAUUCCACCUAGUAGGAAUAUCCAAACACAAUGUUUUGCUACAUUCUACCUCUUGAUGUGCCCAACAUUCCCUAAACUUUAAGGUCCUUUGUGGAGAUGAUCUCACAUACUUCACAGCUUGUCUAAUACGUUUUACAGAAAUAUCAAUUUCCUUCAAACCAUUUUGCACAAUUAGAUUAAGUAUGUGUAACGACCCGACAUGUCAUUUUAAGAAUUUAAACCCCGUCUGGCGGCAUAAGGCCCUGAGCAGCUUCUUAUUAUGUGUAUUGACUUGCGUACAUGGUUGAAUUCAGUUACCGGAUGAUUCUGAGUGAUUUGGAAAACGUGGUCCCCAAAACGAAAACUUAAGUCUUAGGAUUUUUACCGUAGCCAGAACUGUGUGAAGACGACUCCGGAAUAGAAUUUUGAUGAUGUCAAUAGCUCCGUAUGAUAAUUAUGGACUUAGGAGUGUGUCCGAAAAAUUAUUUGGAGGUCUGUAGAGGAAUUUGGCUUGAAAUGGCGAAAGAUGAAUUUUUGGAAAGUUUGACCGAGGGGUUGACUUUUUGAUAUCGGGGCCAGAAUCCGAUUCUGAAAAUUGAAAUAGCUUCGUUAUGUCAAUUAUCACUUGUGUGCAAAAUUUGAAGUCUUUCCAAAUUGAUUUGAUGUGUUUCGGUACAAGAUAUAGAAUUUGAAAUUUUAAAGUUUAUUAGACUUGAAUUGAGGUAUGAUUCGUGACUUUGAUUUUGUUUGAUGUGAUUUGAGGCCUCGCGCAGGUUCGUAUUAUGUAUUGGGAUUGGUGGUACGAUUGGACGGGGUCCCGGGGGCCUUGGGUUUGAUUCGGGGUGGUUCCGGACCAAGUUUGGGUAUUUUGAUGUUGCUGGUUGCUGGUUCUGGUGUUGUUCUUCGUGUUCGCGAGGAGCCUCUCGCGUUCGCGAAAAAGGAUUUUGCUGUUGGGACUUUGUUCUUCGCGUUCGCGAAGAGGUUCUCGCGAUUGCGAAGAAGGAAAUUUUACUGUUCGUUGUCUGUAUUUAGAGGCUCAUAUCUUGCAAUCUAUAAGGAAUUUGGCGAUGAUCCAAAAUUUAAAAUUAUAGCCUUUUCUGUCUAGUUUUCAGAAAGGUAAACUAUUUUGAAUUUGAAGUUGUGUACAAAAAGUUAUAGUGGAUACACUAUAGGCUGUCCGGGAAGAGUUUGGAAAUCUCUGUUGCACAGGGCUAAUUUUGGAAGCUUAUAUCUCGUAAUCUAUAAGGAAUUAGGAGAUGAACAACAAAUUAUAGUUAUAGCUCAUAGAGUCUAGUUUUCAGAAAGUCAAACCAUUUAUCAUUUGGAGUUUUGUACAAACAGUUAUGACCAUUAUACUAGAGGCUGUCUGAGAAGAGUUUGAAGAUGACUUUUGAAGAAUUUGUUCAUCGCGAACGGGAGGGGAGUCUCGUGAACGCGAAGAACAAACCCCUGGGCAGCAGAAUAAAGUCCAAAUUCGUGUCAUUCUUCCAUUUUGGACCAAGGAAGAUCGGGUGAGACGAUCUUUCGAGAGUUUUUCAAGAAAAAUAUUGGGGUAAGAAUUCCUAACUUGAUUUUGGUUAAAUUACAUGAAUCUAUUGUGAUUUUUAUCACUAAAUUAGUGAAUUGGGUUGAAAAAUUUAGAAAAUCCUCUUGGUUUAAAUUUAAGAUUUGGAGGUCGAUUUUUUAUUGGAAUUCGAUAAAAUUGGUAUGGUUGAACUCAUAUCGGAAUGGGUGUUCAGAUUUUAUGAAAAUUAUAUCGGGUUCCAAGAGGCAAGCCCCGCAUUGACUUUUAUUGACUUUUUAGAAUAAAAUUUUAAGUCGACGUAUUAUUAUCCGAAAUUAUUUUCGAUGAAGUUUAAUGAAGUUAUACAAUUAAUUUGGAUAGAUUUGAGCUGUCCGGAGGUCAAUUCAAGCAAGAAGGUUAUUUUGGAAUAUCGGCCUAACUUCAAAAAGGUAAUUGUCUUGCCUAACCUCGAGUGGGGGAAUUACCCCUUAGGCAUCGAGUCUUAUGUGCCGUUUGUGAAAUGUGAAAAGUCGUGUACGCAAAAUAUAUUGGGUUUAAGUCUUAGGCAUAUUGUAUAGUAAAUUGGAUAAUUGUUGGCAUUUAUUUAAUCAUCUAUUUGCCAUGCCUAAAUCCUUAUUGGUUGAACUUGUUUUUAUAUAACAAUUUGAUGUGAUUGUUAUUUUAAUAUUUAUAUAAUUCCGUGAGUUUAUUGGUUUGAUAAUUCUGGGAAUUUAAUUUCAUUUUGAAUUUUUCCUUUGCAAAUAAUUAAUUAAGCAAGUUUAAGAAGACGCGUUAAUAUAAUUAUCUAAAUUUGGAUUAAUGAAGGCUUUCAUUUAUGCUGAAUAAUUUCUAUCUUUGUUGAUUGUUUUUGUGGUGUUAUACACAUUGUGUGGAACCUUCGGCUAUUUGUUGUAAAAUUUAUUGAUUUGAUUUUAUCUUUGGAAUUUGGUUGUGGCCAUUGGGCAAAUUGUGAUAUGAAUUGAUUUUGUUAUGUUGUCGUGAUAAUUUUUCGUAUAAAUUAUUGUGUUGUGUGAGUUGUUAUUUUGAGGAUAUAAGGGUGGCAUUUCACUAUUGUUAUUUUGAGGAUAUAAGGGUGGCAUUUCACUGUUGAUAUUAUGUGGGUAUAAGAGUGGCAUUUCACUGUCGUUGUGUUUGUUGGAAUAUUGUCUGGGCGGAGCGAUAAGGGUGGCUAUAGGAGCGAUAAGGGUGGCAAUAGGAGCGAUAAGGGUGGCUAUUGAUAUUGUAUGGGCGGAGCGAUAAGGGUGGCUAUAGGAGCGAUAAGGGCGGCAAUAGAAGCGAUAAGAAUGGCUAUUGUCAGGGACGAUAUGUGAUGAUGUGGGGUUGUGGUGUUGAUAAUUUUUAUGUGAUGUUGGGAUUUUCUUAUGUUUAUUUUUAUACUUUGUGCCAUUUGUCUUAUUGUUGGUAAAUUGAUAACAAUCUGAUUUAUGUUGAAAUUAAGAGCCUGAGGCUAUUACCAGGAAGAUUAUAAAAUAAAAUGUGGGCACGAGGUGCCGUGAGUAAAUAAUGAGGAUAUUCAGCACGUGAAUUGUUCGUGCAGUUGUGAUAUGAAAUGUGGGCACGAGGUGCUGUGAUGAAAUGAUAAUGAUAAUUGGCACGCGAAUUGUCCGUGCAGUUGUGAUUUGAAAUGAGGGCACGAGGUGCCGGGAAAAUAUGAUGAUUAAACUAUGGGCACGAGGUGCCGUGGAAAUAUAAAAAUUGGCUGAGACCCAUAUUUUUACGAUUAUGAAAUGAGGUGUCACAUGAUGACUUUUUAAUUGAAAGAAUUAUAUUCAAAAUAUUUAUUUGAAAGGAUUUUCAUUCAAAAAGAAUUAUAUGAAAGAAUUGUAUUUGAAAGAUAUUUAUUUGAGAAAAUUAUAUUUGAAAAGAUUUAUUGAAAGAAUUAUAUUUGAAAAAUAAUUAUUUGAGAAAAAUUAUAUUUGAAAGAGAGUUAUCUGGAAGAAUUAUAUGUGAAAGAUAGUUAUUUGAAGGACUUGAUUUAAUUGGGUGUAGUUGUAUUUAUUAAUUAUUGAGUGAUAUUAAUGGUACUCUUGUUGUCUAUUGUGCAUAUCACUGGUUGUUUUAUCCUGCCCUUAUUGUUAUUUGUUUUCUAUUAUUUUGUAUAAUAUAUAUUGCACAGGUUAUUAGACUAGUGAGUGUCUUGAUUGUACCUCGUUUCUACUCCACUGAGGUUAGUUUUGAUACUUACUGGGUACCGACCGUGGUGUACUCAUACAAUACUUCUGUACAUUUUUGUGCAGAGCUAGGUAUUGGAGAUAUCGGACUUGAGCAGAGUUAAAUCGGGAUCGUAAGGAUUCAAGGUAGAGCUGGUUGGCCGUCGCAGUCCCUUGGAGUCUUUUCAUUUCAUUGUACUGUUAAUUUGUAAUCAAAGAAUAUUGUAUAUUCGGUCCUCGUGAUCAUUCCAUGUAUUCAGUUAAAGUUCGUGACUCAGUACUACCAGUCUUGGGAGGUUAUAUAUUCAUAUUUAUUCCGAUGUUAGUUUUUAUUACUUAGUUUUAAAAAGCAAAAAUGGCUUCAAAAUGCAAUUGAAAACGGCUUACCUAGUCUUAGAGACUAGGUAUCAUCACGACGCCUAUGGUGGAAUUUUGGGUCGUGACAGUAUGUGAGUCAUGCAUCUCACAUGAAGAUGCUUACCAUUUAUCGAAUUAGUUUUCCGCAUAUCUAGUUGUUUAAACAAUUCUUUGAUCGUGACAUCAUUCGAAGAAGCAUCAUCUAUAGUAACAGUGAAUACCUUAUCCAAUUUUCAUUCAAGCAAAUAAUUACCAAUAACUUUUGCCAUUUUGUCACCCUUAUGACUAUCGAUAGGGCAAAAAUAUAGUAUUAUUUUAUGCAACACCAAAUCUCUAUCUAUCAAAUGACCCGUCAAACACACAUAGUUAAUUCUUUGUAACGAAGUCCAUGUAUCUGUGGUAAGUAAAUUUUUGGUUUUACUUCUCUGAAAAUUUUCAUUAGUUUAAGCCUCUCUUCACUGUAAAUUUAAAAACAAUCUCUUGUAAUUGUCCUACGAGAAGGAACAUUAAAUAGAGGUUGGGCUAUGCUCAUAAACUUCUUAAAGUCUUUCUUUUCAACAAAGCUAAAAGGUAAAUCCUCCGUAAUUACCAUCUCAACUAAAGCCCUCCUAACUAGUUCUUGAUCAAAUUUUCAAAGCACCCCGCCAUUAAUUUUCCCAUCCUUUUGUAAACACAUUUGUGUUUGAGUAUUAUCAAAUUUCCGUGGUAUUUUUGGACACUUUUUUAAAUGAGUAUUCAAUGAUGUUGUUCCAUACAAUUGUGAAUCAGCCUUAUAAUCACGACCACAAUGUUUACACUUUGCUCUAUCACCUCUAUUAUCAUAUUUAAACUUUUAAAAAUGAUCCCAAGAUAUUGAUCUACAUUGUACGGAUUUUCUUUUUUUGGGGCCUUGACUAGUUUCAACUGAAUUUGUAGGUGAAGAAGUAGGUUCACUUUCAGAUGAACCCACCUCACUUACUCUACUUUCAACUUCUGCCAUCUAUACAAAAUCGAAUGAAAACAGACUUAAAAAUGCAAACUGGUAUACAAUAUAAAUCUAUCAUGUCGCAACUCGCAUAAAAUUAAGUAGGCACAGAGGCAAAAAGAAUAAAAGAACAAAAGAACAACAGCAAAAACAGAGGCAAAAAAACAAAAGAGGCAGUUGUCACUUCUUUUUGGCAAAUAUUAACUCGAAAGAGUCCUAAAAAUAAGAGGCAAAUGCGCAUAUAUACUAUUAUACUAUAAACAAGAGCAGAAAAUUGAAAGUUGAAAGAAACCAGCAGGAAGAGCGACGAGGGAAAACUGAAAAGGAACUGAGAAGAAGGAGGUAACCACUAACCUGAGGAUGAAGGAUGAAUGACGAGCGGAGGACGAAGGCGUCACAGGCUCACAGCAGUCGGGCGUCGCCACAGUCGCACAUAGGAGGAAGGAAGUCGGGACUCUCAAGUCUCAAGAACAAGAACCCUAAUUAGAAAUAAUUUCUAAUUUCUAAGGAAGGGAAUUAGAAAAGUAAUAUAAGUCUAUGUUGGGUUAGGUACUGGUAUUGGGUAAAUUGGGUUUAAGAUGGGUAUUGGGUAGAUUGGGCUUCGGAUGGA
rnacentral:lncRNA from 1 species